UCAAGAAUUUGAGUUAAUGUGUUAUUUAUAUACAAAACUUCUUACAUUCAUGUAUUUUACAAAAAACUUUACUUCAUGUAUAUAUCCAAAAUUUCUUGUAUUCUUUACAAAAAGAAAAUGCAAAAAAAAGAGUUAAUUUCAUAUCCAUGCAAUAUACACAUGUUUGUAACCCUCUAGUAUUGAGUAUUUGUAAUUACUAGACUUGUAACAACAACAUAACAAAAAAACAUUCUACAGCUCACUGCACUAAGCAGGGCCAUCUCUUUAUUCGAAUUAUAGUAUUUAAUAAGUUUUUGAUAUCUACGAGAGUCUGAAUCUACGAGUCAGCAUUGGCGGUACCAGAGCUUUUCUUUAUUGAGGCAUGGCUGAAGGAGCUUUUGCCUGAGGAUGUUGAGUGUUUCUUUUCAUAGUUAGCAGCUUGAUAGCUAACAGAGCCUGCACUUGCACCAGAAGUUUCUCCGGUGGAGGUUUCACUUCCACUAGGGCCACCCGCAGAGGGGCUGCUUGCUGGACUUCCACCUGUAGAAUCUGUGUAGGCACCACCAG
rnacentral:lncRNA from 1 species